CCUUUAUAUCCUCUGCCAUCCUCUGCCCUCCCAUGCCCUCUCCUGCCAUCCCCUGCCCUCCUCUUUCGUCAUUUGCCCUCUCUGCCGUCCCUUGCUCUCCCUUGCCCUCUCCUGCCGUCAGUUGCCCUCCCUUGGCCUCUACUGCCCUCCUCUGCAGCCCCUUGCUCUCCACUUCCCUCCUCUGCCGUCUCGUGCUCUCUUCUUUCCUCCUCUGCCCUCCCUUCCCUCCCUUGCCCUCCCUUGCCCUCCCUUGCCCUCCCUUGCCCUCCCUUGCCCUCC
rnacentral:lncRNA from 1 species